rnacentral:misc_RNA from 1 species
CCUCGCUGCUUUUCUUUCCGGUGCUCCCCCUUCCCCCAACCUCAGCGACUGUCGAGGACGGUGCAGGCGGACCUUUUGUGUGUGUGGGUGUGUUGGCAGGGAAGGAGAAGGGGAAGGAGGGGCUUGCUGGGCGGACGGCUGGCGUCUCUGUCGCUUGCACUGCCUCCUCCCACCGAUGCUUCCGGUUUUCGCAGUACGUGCGUGUCCUUGCCUCAUGUCAGCGCUGUGCUUCGGAGGGACGAGCCAGGCGCUAAUUUACACAUGAACAUGUUUGCUUAUACACGCAUACCGGUGCGUCAGUGGCACUAGAGAGGGAGAGAGAGGCACACCAGCGCAAGAAGGACAGAGACACCAACUCUGAAGCCCGCCAACUGACCGAAUAGACGGAUGACAGUCUCGAACGCCCUCAGCUCGGGCGACGUGAAGACGAAAAAUGAGUGUCUUGUGCUUCAAUGUGUGUGUAUGUGUGUAUGUGCAUGCCAGAGGGAAAGCGUGCACCGACACGCUCGUGGCCUCGUCUUCAUCUGCUGCCGCUCGGCCCCUCCGCUUUUCCGUCUCUCUCUUGGGCUUGCUUGAGCGUGACUCUUUGAGCGUCGCUUCGCCGCUGCAAAGCGCAGCCACAGACCCCCGCCCCCGCCCCCCAUUCGCCCGUGCUCGUAUACGAACACACACACACACACACACACAUGGGCACAGACCCCCGCCCCCCUCCCCCUUCACACGUCUAGAGGCAUAUUUGCUGUUUGCCAUUUGGAAUCACCUUCUUGAGAAGACGGCACCCACAGUUCAUGAGGGCGGAAUGCGACAGAGACGUCGAGGGCGCCGAGGUCGCCGCUGAUGCCGCGGGCCCUAGGCGCGUUCCUGGUGGCAGCUGCAGCCCCAGCAGCAUUGACGCUGUACCUUCCAGUACGCAAGCCAGCGAGUGCGGCUCAGGGCAGGUGAGUCGAGAAAACGAAACUCCGAAGGCGGUGCUGAAGCAUGUUGCUGUCAACGUUACCAGCGCUUCACCGCGAGCGGAAGAGGCUCCUUUCCUCGCAGCGACGUCCGUGGCGAUGCACGGGACACAAAGCACACAGGAGCUCAGCCCCACCGACUUGCAGGGGCACAAAGGAUCCCGCACUGUCGACGCCGGAUCUCCGCAUCCUCGUUGCGGGUUCCCGAUCAAGUCACUCUUCAUGACGCGCUCCACGCGCAUCUCGAUCCUCUCCAAUCAUUCUCACAAAACUUCACAAACGCAGCUCCCCACAGCUGCGUCGACCACGGCAGGCGACGCGAUCAGCGACGCUGUUGAUGAUGCGCCGGAGCUAGUGGACGCCGGAUCGUCACCAUCCCACUCUUCGGCCCCUCUCCCGCUUAUGCCGCCAGCCACUACGCCGUACAGACUGAGCCGCCUCUCUCGCAGCGCUGCGACCGUUUCUGCGGCCACGUCAGCGUCUGAGGUGCCAGAAGGGCGUUACAGCGACAGCAGAGCGCCUGCCGAGCUUUUCGCUUCUUCGCGUGCUGCUCCUGCUGCUGGAGUCGCUCCGGUGGUCCAUGCCGUUGAUUUCGACAUUCACCGAGACAUUCAUGUGAGGGAGGCGGCGCUACUCAGGAGCGUUGCUCAAGAGGGCGAUCAAACCACGUCAAACUCGCUGGAUGGGGUACUGCCACCACCGCAUUUUUUCACGCCAGUCAACCGCACGUUCACUUCCGCCGCUGGGCUCACUGGUGACUCGACUGGUUUUUCAUCUGCGCAACCCCUCUUCUCUUCUUCUGCCGUCGUCAAUGCCGUGCAGCGUGCUCAGACGCGGAUGGAGGCCACUCAUGCCCGUAGCCAGCGGCUUCGUCGCACACCGGAGCUCUCUGCUCGCCAUCAUCCGCGAGCGGCCAGCGGUGUUGACGCUUUGCUGUCUUCGGCAUCGUCAUCCCUGCUGACGCAGCUGUGGCAGCAGCGCGCGCAGGCUACAUCGCGGUCCUCCGUAUACAGGGACAUCCACGAUGCGCCGGCGGGCAUGCCUGGCCGCAGCGCGCCGCUGCCGCGACGCGGACUUCACGUGCCCGGCGGCAGUGCUGAUCCGAUCUACACAACAGCAGUGGCGAAUGUCACCGAUGCCAUUGGAGGCGGGGAUCGAAGCAGGGACGGCGUGCUUGGCCAACGCGGAGUCGCGCUUCCGUCAGCUGACUCGCCAUUUCUUCACUGUGAUCUCGCGGAAAACACGGCGAGUUGCUCACCGUCGGUAGCGGCGGCAACCGAGGUCGGGACGCCGACUGUGACCGAGGCGGCGUGCCGUGCCCCGGAUACAACUGAGUCGUCGAUCGCUUCGUGCGCGAGUACAUCGCCGGUGAGCUUGACCGCCUCACAGCAUCCUACUUCCCUUAUCCCUUACUCCACAGAGUCCCCUAGCAGAAGCGCGCUGGCCAGUCCGGAAGGCUCCUGUGUGUUGGCCCCGCCUGCGUUGGUACCGCCCACCACGCUGCCGCCAACGGCAUCCUCCUGUGGUGAGUCGGCAAAGGCACUGCUCACUGCACCUUGCUCGAAUGCUUGUGGGGACUGUCAGAUCGUCAACGGCGGCGGUGGCGGCGCUCUCUACCUCGAUGGGGGACAAACAGCGGAUGAGCUCCCGUGCUCAGAUGACGCAGCCAGUAGUGCCGAGUGCUACAGUGCUUUCGCAGGUGUUAUGUCUGACACCAUGGGGCUGGCACCGGUGCUGGCAGACACAAUGCCGCAUGGCCGAUGUUUUACAUUGAACAUGUUGACCACCUGGGGAGACGCGCACGAGGUGGGUCUCUGCGGGCUGGAGCUGUUCGACGACCGUGGCCAGCGAUUGCUGCCAUGCCGCGCAGCAGCUACGGGGACGGCAGCGGUGGUGUCGCAGACGGCGUCUGUGGAAGGCAACGUCGUCAUACUGGCGGCCACGCCGCCGAACGGGUUUGUGCGCGCCUUCGCCGAGUACACGGCAACCGAGACGAAUUUGGUGGCGGCGAGUAACGCUGCUGCCGCGGGUGGUGAGGACGCCGCGCAGGUCGGCCCGAGUGAUGAUGCCGUGUGUGGAGAUCCGCGGCGGCAGCUCCGCACGCUGAUCUGCCCACACCCCCUUAACACGCACGACGAGGCGCACAUGUUCGCCGUGCCGUACACGGCGGGCAAGCCGCACCUUGUCAGCUUUGUUUUUGCAGAGCCGGUUCGACUCUCUGUGAUGCGGCUCCACAACUACGCUGGCAGGGGCCGCGCGCACACCACGAAGGGCGUGCGCAUUGCCGAGGCGUGGAUGGAGGAGACGGUGGUCUUCCGCGGCGAGGUGCGCGCGAACUCUGGAGAGCUGUGCCGUGGAGAGAGUGCGGAGGAGGCGGAGGACGGUGUUGCUCACAGGCAGGGCGAUCAGCACGCCAGCCAACCCUCAUCUCUGCCUCUUUCGACAUCUUUCUCUCCGUACGGCCUUGAGAACUGCGAGAACGUUCUGUGGACGACGGAUGCCGCAGUGCUGGCACGCGUCAUGGCGCACGGCCCCCCCUCUACGACGCCACCAAUGCGCGAGGUGGACGACAGCGAUGACACACACGGCCGCCGGCGCACUGCUGGGGUUUCGUUGGAGGGUGGGGCAGCUGUACCACGCCGUAUGGCGCCAACGUCUACCGCACGCGACGAUACGCUCAGUGGCAAUCCAGCGCCUUGCCGCCCUGUGUCUGCUCGCCCUUCGACGACGACGCGAAGGUCGCGAGCCCCACCUGUGCGCUUUAGCUUCUGCAGUGCACGACAGGCGGACACUACCAUGCUGCGCCGCCGUCGUGCCUCAGCUGGCGGUGAACCGGGCCUACGAGGCGACAAAGACGCUGUGACCCCCUUGCAGGCCUGUUCUGCUUGCUUUCCUCGCCCCAGUGGUGCAGUCGAGGCGUGGGCCGACGUUGCGACGGACGCGCGUGUGCACCAGGUGCCCGUCGGCUGCACAACUGAUUCAGCGCAGCCAGAGCUGCACAGCGGCUCUGGCCAAGACGACCGCCAGCAGCGCAAGCAACGACGCCGCCACCUCAAUCGGCAGGCGGUGCUCGACCCUGAUCGGUGUCCUCGACGAGUGACAGCGAUUUGCGUGAUGGUGCUGAGCACUUGGGGAGCGACGCAGCACGUCGGCCUCAGCUGUCUCCGGCUAAGGGAUGCAAGCGGUGACGUUGUCGGCUCUGUGGAUGUGCAGUGUGCCGCCCUCCACUACCCAGAUGGCACCAGCUCCAUUUGUGCAAGCCAUAGCUGCAGCGGCAGUAGUGCGACAGGCACGAUCGAGAACCGCCACCACGCUCCCAGCGCCGCGUGUAACAACGACGGCAGCAACGGUUCAGUGAAAGCGCAGGAUGAUGCUGGCUGCGGUGGUGAGUGCGGCCUCUCGAGGACUGUUCGCGGAUUGCUGCACAGUGAGGCGCACUCGGAGGAAGCGGCCCGUGGCGCCAAUCAGCAGGAUUGCCCUUCUGGUCCGUGCCUCCUCCCAUUUCAGAGCAGCAUGCAGCUCGUCUUUAUCUUUCGCGACCCGAUCCCCUCGCUGGGCUUCCUCGAUGUCGCGAAUUACUCGGUGGGGGAUCAGACGUGCUGCGGGGUGAAGGAUGCGCGUGUCUUCUUCGCCGAGGAGGCAGAGGAGGGCGCUACCGCUGCUACUUCGCCCCGUCCUUCAGCGGAGGUGUUUCGCCAGCUGUGGUAUGCCGGUGCCUCCUCGCAGAGUCGACACGCUUUGGCGGCGGCGCGAGUGUACGAGGUGACCCCGUCGGCUGGCGUGACGCUCCGGAAGGCACCUGCCUUUCUGGACUCUGCCCGCUUCCAGAGCUACGACGUAUCUUUGUACGGCCCUGGUUUGCCACCACCUCGAAUCGCUUUUCCAUCGACAGCAACUGUGCGGGACGACGACACUGCCGCCGCUACUGCUACUGCCAUACUCGAUGCACAAGCCCCACGAAGCAAUCUUCAGCGAGCGCUGCCGCUGCCAACGCAUGACACUGGCAUGCUUUUUGCCAAUCAUUUCGGCCGCUACGAAAUCGCGUCCGGUCUCGGAACCGGCGGCGCCGGCAGCAGCAGCACCAAGACGGAGGUGUUUUCAAUCAGCAACAUCAAUGUGAAUGGGGAUGGGGGCCAGUCGUGUGCCCAACGCCACCAUGACCGCGCCAGCUCUUUUUCCUUAGCGGGCAGCCUCGGCGCCUCCAUGAACAUCCGGGCCAACGUGGCGAUGCACCGCGCGCGCAUGUCCCUUCUGCAAGAGCGGCCGGCGUGGCUGCUGGAGUACCAACCGUAUGUGACGCCACUCUUGCCAGUGGGGUACGUGUGCAAGCUGCGGCUGACAGUGUGCGCGCGCGAUGUCCCUGCUGGUGAGCCUCUCGACCCCUCCGCUGACUGUCGUGCGGGGGCAAAGGAGGCGAAACCUCCCUACGCGAGCGCCGCUGCCACAUCUUCUGUGGCGACGGCGCCGGUAUUGGGGGAGGCGCCGGCAAAGGUAGCUGCUGUAAUCACAGCCGGCGACUCUCUGAAGGCGUACUUGAAGGAGUGGCUCGUGCAGCCGCUCCGCGCCUGCAGCUUUGUGAACGAACGCGGCGACGUGGUCAAGCCUAUGCGUCCAGACAAGUACCGCGCCAUGAUGCACGAGGCGGCGGCGCGGCGCCACGGUACACCUUGGCAAGACGGUAACGGUGAUGGGGAUGCGCAGCACGAGCGCGCACUGGCACGGUGUGUGCCGAUGGUAGCGGAGAGCAUGGUGAGCGCUGUGCACGCAAAUCGCCACAGCUCCGUGGCGAGUAUGCACGCGAUGCCAUCGCCGCAGCCGCCUCUGCAGGUCGUUGUGGAGCUGCUUUACGUCGCGGACGUGCCGUUUUGCAUCUCGCUCGUGGCUCUUCACAAGCCCCUCGUAGUGCGCGGCUCGGCGGCGUGGGUCCGGCAGGUGCAGGUCUUCGUGGAUGACGCGCUUGUCUUCUCUAGCGGAGAGGCUUCUUUACGACUGACACAGACCCCAUCAGGGAAUGGUGCUGCGCGCGACCCAGGUGUUGGCGCCGGGGCGCGGGCCGGCGAUGCCUGGGAUGCUACGGGACCAGCAGCAUCUGGCGGCUUCGGACCCCAGCUUAACAACGGCCAAGGCAGCGCGGCUGAUGCUGCAAGCCAGGGCGCACAACUGUGGGGAGACCUUCCGGAAUGUGCGACGUCCUUGAAGCCUUAUGUGGUCUUCACGCUCGACCCAGACCUACUCGACGACCUAUGCGCUGAAGCAACGGGUGCUUCCUCGUCAUAGCCGUCUUGAGCCUCGCGCAGGAGGAAGAGACCUGGAGGUGGGCGAAGAGGGCGGGCGGGGCGCGGGGAGUUGAAGCAGUGGCGGUGGCUACAGUAGCACCAUGACGGGUGACCCGGAGCGAUGUGUGGAUAUCCGCACGAUAACGGCAACAGGCAAGCCUGUCAAGACUAGCUCGUGUGCUGUGCAAGAGAACCCAAGGUGGGAGAUGUCUUCAAGAGGAUGUCUGCGAGGGGGGGCGAAGCGGCACCGGCAAGAGAAGAGGUCCGAUCGCAGAGGAGGGGGGAGGCAGGCGGGAGGAGGGAGCAGGGCGAAGCGCUCGUAGCCCUUUCUAUCCUCUCGUGCUGGAUCUGUUGCAUGGCCACGCUCCUCCUCUCUCUUCCUUUUCCUCCUCUUGACGACGCUGCUUUUUGUUUGGGUUUUCUUGCGUGUGUCGAGUGCUGCCGUGGAGCCGAUUGACUGUCUUGCUCUGCCGUUCCACAUGCGCCGCUCCCUCCUCCUUCGCGUCUGUGUACACGCCGUAUGCUGCCUCAUCCCUGCGCUGUACGGGGGCAGGGUCCGUCGUUGUUCGUUGGGUUGUAUGGGGAAGAGGGAGAUAGAUGAGGUCGAGAGAAAUGGAUUGCACAGGGAUGGCGACGCGAUAGUGGCUCGCCGCUCCUUGUCACUCUUGUCCUUUUCCUUCUCUCUCUUGGCCCCUCUCCGCUGACUUCCAUCAGGCCUCGAUACGGUCCUCUUGACCGCUUCUCGGUUACUCGACGCGGGGGUCUGUCGGUGCGCAGCUACUGACUUAUGCUACGGUAUAGGUGCACCUAAGAACGGCGAAUAAUGGCGAAUCUUGCGUCUCCGCAUCUCCUCUCCCGCAG